AUUUGAUGAUGAGGGCAUUGAAUGCACAAUAGUUCAAAUCUUUCCCAAUACUCGGCGAGUGUUUCUCCAUGAGAUUGCCGAAUCCCACAUAUUUCUUUUCUUAUGUU
rnacentral:snoRNA from 1 species